AAUUUCAUGCUUGCUUACUUGCUUUUGGGACUAUUUAUUCUUGGAGUCAUGGGAGUGGUCAAGAUGACAGGACUGUUAUGCCUGUUCUUGCUCAUGCCACUUUUAGUUCCUGGUUCGGAAGCAAAGAUGUGCACUCGAGAUAGCCGGACCUAUACGUCUGUACCAUGCAAGCAUGAUCCUUGUGUUGAUGCAUGCCACAAGGAGGGCUCUAUCGAAGGGUUUUGUUACCUAUUCUUCGGAGCUUGUACAUGCCAAUGUGAGUGUUGAAUAAGAAACAUGUUGCAACUAUCAUAGGGUGUGUGUAACAAAUAAUAAUGUUGAGUAGUAUGAUGACUUGACAAUGGGCAAUGCAAGAGGUUGAGAAUCUACCAAAUAUUCCUUAAUUCUAUAUCUACUAAAGGAGGGUGCGUUUCUCCAAAUGUUUGGAUUGUCCCUACGUCACAUGUGCCAGAAUUAUUGAUGUGGGUCGAGCCAUGUAAGUGGGCUUCCUAUUUUAAUGGGAAAUAGAAAAAUGGUGAGUCAAUUACA